rnacentral:ribozyme from 1 species
GUCGAUGGUAUUUUGUUUAUUGUGUAUGUGAUUUAUUUAUUAUGGAUGAUCAAGAGAGAAAAAAAAAAAGAGAGAAAUUCAAUAGUUUGCGAAAACUCACUUUCGAUAGAUAGCUAACGUAUUUAGGUAUUCUCUUGGAAACU